rnacentral:rRNA from 1 species
GAUGAACGCUGGCGGCGUGCUUAACACAUGCAAGUCAAACGAUGAACCGGGUGCUUGCACUCGGGGAUUAGUGGCGAACGGGUGAGUAACACGUGAGCAACCUGCCCCUGACUCUGGGAUAAGCGCUGGAAACGGCGUCUAAUACUGGAUAUGUCCCGUCACCGCAUGGUGUGCGGGUGGAAAGAUUUUUCGGUUGGGGAUGGGCUCGCGGCCUAUCAGCUUGUUGGUGAGGUAAUGGCUCACCAAGGCGUCGACGGGUAGCCGGCCUGAGAGGGUGACCGGCCACACUGGGACUGAGACACGGCCCAGACUCCUACGGGAGGCAGCAGUGGGGAAUAUUGCACAAUGGGCGGAAGCCUGAUGCGGCAACGCCGCGUGAGGGAUGACGGCCUUCGGGUUGUAAACCUCUUUUAGCAGGGAAGAAGCGAGAGUGACGGUACCUGCAGAAAAAGCACCGGCUAACUACGUGCCAGCAGCCGCAGUAA